GUGUUUUCUUGAGUUCCCUUCCAAGCACUUCAGAAGAAACAACAACCAUUUCUAGUCACAAAAUUUUGUGAUGUGUACUUUACAACUGAAGUGUUUGGGGGAACUCUAGAAGAUAC
rfam:Cucumis melo, WGS project CAJI01000000 data, contig: 00714